UCCUACGGGAGGCAGCAGUGGGGAAUCUUGCGCAAUGGCCGAAAGGCUGACGCAGCGACGCCGCGUGGAGGAUGACGCCCUUCGGGGUGUAAACUCCUGUUGCCCGGGACGAACGAGCUUAUUCGUAAGCUGUGACGGUACCGGGUGAGGAAGCACCGGCUAACUCUGUGCCAGCAGCCGCGGUAAU
rnacentral:rRNA from 1 species